rnacentral:rRNA from 1 species
AUGAGUUGGAACAUACGUGGCCUGAACUCGCCGGCAAAACGAGAGGCCGUUCGAGAGGUAGUUGCAGCGCACCGCACCGCCAUUCUGUGCAUGCAAGAGAACAAGCUCGAUGAGUGGACGCCGAACCUCGUCCGCGACAUCGGCGGCCCUCAUCUGCGCGGUUGUGCAUUCCUGCCCGCCAUCGGCACUCGAGGCGGCAUCGCCAUCCUCUGGAACCAAGACCUGGUAGACUGAUGUCUACUAUGCAACUGCCAGUUCGCGAUCACGGUUAAGGUUUGUGUAGCUAGACACUAGACCUCGUUCUGGUUAACCACGGUCUACGGUCCGACUAACGACGCGAGCAAAGAGGCCUUCCUUGCCGAGAUCACAAACUCUGCCCCGCCUAGCUCCGAGCCAUGGCUUAUCAAUGGCAAUUUCAACCAAAUUUAUGAGGCUAGGGAGAAGAACAACCUCAACCUCAAUAGGAGGCUCAUGGGGUGCUUUAGGGCUGCAAUAGACAGAGCUGGUUUACGCCAAAUCAAAUGCAACAACCGCAGGUUCAUCUAG